rnacentral:rRNA from 1 species
GGGAAACUUACCAGGUCCAGACAUGGGAAGGAUUGACAGAUUGAUAGCUCUUUCUUGAUUCUAUGGGUGGUGGUGCAUGGCCGUUCCUAGUUCGUGGAUUGAUUUGUCUGGUUGAUUCCGUUAACGAGCGAGAUCUUAACCUACUAAAUAGGUCGUUAAAGUUCGCUUUAAUAGUACCUUCUUAGAGGGACAUUGCGUGUUUAACGCAAGGAAGUUUGAGGUAAUAA